rnacentral:rRNA from 1 species
GAGUUUGAUCCUGGCUCAGGACGAACGCUGGCGGCGUGCCUAAUACAUGCAAGUCGAGCGAGCUGAACCAGCAGAUUCACUUCGGUGAUGACGCUGGGAACGCGAGCGGCGGAUGGGUGAGUAACACGUGGGUAACCUGCCCUAAAGUCUGGGAUACCACUUGGAAACAGGUGCUAAUACCGGAUAACAACAAUAGCUGCAUGGCUAUUGCUUAAAAGGCGGCGAAAGCUGUCGCUAAAGGAUGGACCCGCGGUGCAUUAGCUAGUUGGUAAGGUAAUGGCUUACCAAGGCGACGAUGCAUAGCCGAGUUGAGAGACUGAUCGGCCACAUUGGGACUGAGACACGGCCCAAACUCCUACGGGAGGCAGCAGUAGGGAAUCUUCCACAAUGGGCGAAAGCCUGAUGGAGCAACGCCGCGUGAGUGAAGAAGGUUUUCGGAUCGUAAAGCUCUGUUGUUGGUGAAGAAGGAUAGAGGUAGUAACUGGCCCCUAUUUGACGGUAAUCAACCAGAAAGUCACGGCUAACUACGUGCCAGCAGCCGCGGUAAUACGUAGGUGGCAAGCGUUGUCCGGAUUUAUUGGGCCGUAAAGCGAGCGCAGGCGGAAAGAUAAAGUCUUGAUGUGAAAGCCCCCGGCUUAACCGAGGAAUUGCAUCGGAAACUG